GAUUAGUGUAGGUUAGGUUUUUAUAUAUUGUAGGUCAUAUUACCAGCAGAUUGUUUCCGUUGUUGUGACUAAUUGUUUUCUUUGAGCUGUUUAGAAUUUUUUUCAGGUUUCAUCCACUUACACCAGAAAGCAAAUUUUGAAGAAAACGCUCUCAGGCUGCUAAGGAGCCGCUGGAAGAAACUGGACCUGACAGAUGUGCAGAGCAGCCCACCAACCAUGGUUAAGAAGGAUGAUGGAGAAAGACUGGAUGGAUCAACAAUCCCCAGCAACACUGAGGACAAAAGUGUUUGCUCCCACAUAGAACAGCUAUCAACCACAAGAGCUCCUGUUACCACACACCAUGGAAACCAACGAGUAAAAUAUACCCACUGCACAGAUUGGAGAGGCCAUAAGUAGUGAGCAGAAAAAUCUCCAAGAAUGUGUCAGUGUGCCCAGGGUCAUGUCUGUCCAAGCAUCUCAUUGCCAGGGGACUUUUCUCGAAACACUCAGUGUACAUGUGUAGCACUGCAGUUUCUGGCCUACCAGAGUGAGGGAACCGAGUUUACAAUGCAGGACCUUGAUAGAGUUCUGAAGGAGGGGGAUGCAUUGUAUACGUACAUUAAAAUGCAGCUAAUAAGUGCAAAUACAUUUCUAAAUGACCACUUGAAUAUGGAUGAAGUGCCAGAGCGUGUCACAAAAAGUAAAUCAAUCGUACAAUGUUAUAAAAUCCGAAACAAUGUUGGGAUGCCUGAGAUCCAGUGGGUUCUCUGGAGAAUCCUGGUUUAAGACUCUACCUGAGA